GAUUGAACGCUGGCGGCAUGCCUUACACAUGCAAGUCGAACGGCAGCACGGGAGCAAUCCUGGUGGCGAGUGGCGAACGGGUGAGUAAUAUAUCGGAACGUGCCCAGUCGUGGGGGAUAACGUAGAGAAAUUUACGCUAAUACCGCAUACGAUCCAAGGAUGAAAGCGGGGGACCGUAAGGCCUCGCGCGACUGGAGCGGCUGAUAUCAGAUUAGCUUGUGGUGAGGUAAAAGCUCACCAAGGCGACGAUCUGUAGCUGGUUUGAGAGAACGACCAGCCACACUGGGACUGAGACACGGCCCAGACU
rnacentral:rRNA from 1 species